GCAUCGGUUUUUGAUCAAAUAUUUAUAGGAUAUGGAUGGGCUCGCGUGACAUUAGCUAGUUGGAGAGGUAACGGCUCACCCAAGGCUACGAUGUCUAGGGGCUCUGAGAGGAGAAUCCCCCCACACUGGUACUGAGACACGGACCAGACUCCUACGGGAGGCAGCAGUAAGGAAUAUUGGUCAAUGGAGGCAACUCUGAACCAGCCAUGCCGCGUGCAGGAUGACUGCCCUAUGGGUUGUAAACUGCUUUUGUCAGGGAAUAAACCUUUCUACGUGUAGGAAGCUGAAUGUACCUGAAGAAUAAGGAUCGGCUAACUCCGUGCCAGCAGCCGCGGUAAUACGGAGGAUCCAAGCGUUAUCCGGAUUUAUUGGGUUUAAAGGGUGCGUAGGCGGUCCUAUAAGUCAGUGGUGAAAGACGGCAGCUUAACUGUCGCAGUGCCUUUGAUACUGUAGGACUUGAAUCUAUUUGAAGUGGGCGGAAUAAGACAAGUAGCGGUGAAAUGCAUAGAUAUGUCUUAGAACUCCGAUUGCGAAGGCAGCUCACUAAGUUAGUAUUGACGCUGAUGCACGAAAGCGUGGGGAUCAAACAGGAUUAGAUACCCUGGUAGUCCACGCCCUAAACGAUGAUAACUCGAUGUUUGCGAUACACAGUAAGCGUCCAAGCGAAAGCGUUAAGUUAUCCACCUGGGGAGUACGGUCGCAAGAUUGAAACUCAAAGGAAUUGACGGGGGCCCGCACAAGCGGAGGAGCAUGUGGUUUAAUUCGAUGAUACGCGAGGAACCUUACCCGGGCUUGAAAGUUAGUGAAUGAUCCAGAGACGGAUCAGUCCUUCGGGACACGAAACUAGGUGCUGCAUGGCUGUCGUCAGCUCGUGCCGUGAGGUGUUGGGUUAAGUCCCGCAACGAGCGCAACCCCUAUGUUUAGUUGCCAGCACAUUAAGGUGGGGACUCUAAACAGACUGCCAGCGUAAGCUGUGAGGAAGGUGGGGACGACGUCAAGUCAUCAUGGCCCUUACGUCCGGGGCUACACACGUGCUACAAUGGACGGUACAGCGGGCAGCUACAUAGCAAUAUGAUGCUAAUCUCUAAAAGCCGUUCACAGUUCGGAUUGAGGUCUGCAACUCGACCUCAUGAAGUGGAUUCGCUAGUAAUC
rnacentral:rRNA from 1 species